rnacentral:lncRNA from 1 species
GAUUGAUAGGUGCUAGGUAGCCAGAGAACAGUGUGAAGAGCAUAAAAAGAAUGGGCAAGGCACAGCAGUAAAGAGACAGAGUGCUCUAAAUCCAAGAACUGUGCAUUAUUCUGCAUAGGUGAAGAGUAGAGUGGAUGUGGGAAGUCAUAAGGGCUGAGACUAGAGAUGUAGGCAGGGACAAGAUGAUGCAAAGUCUCAUACAACAUUCUGAGGAAGACGUUUACCCUGAAAGAGAUUUUCUGUCAACUGUCUUCAUUUUCACCGUAAGAUUGAUAAGGACAUUUCUAAUUCAUUGGGCAUAGCAUUUUACUUCAUAAAAUCUGCAGUUUAAUGAACAUUGCUACCAAGAACAUCAAGAAGAGCUGCUGAAUGAUAGGCAUUUGGAGAGCAGUUAGCCAUGCUACAUGGGAAGCUAAAACUUUCGAACCAGGAGGUGGUUCAACAAAGCAUCUUGAACUGUCCAAAGACCAGUUUGCCAGGAAAGCCGCUGUCUCAAGAAUAUCAAGGAGCGGAGUCUUUCCAGACCACAACUCCUCGCUCCAGGCGUUCGAAUCUGCCUCAAACAAAAGAGGAGACAACGGCGAAGGACGCCCCCCUGCCAUCCUCCUAUCUCACCAUGGCUCCCGCCUCGCUGCAAGCAGCCCCUCAAGGCCAAACGCAGGCUGGUGGGAAAACACCGACCUGCACAAGCUACAUGCGCCCUCUCCCCUACCCAAAACCCCGAAUAAAAAUCCCUACCCAUCCCUCAUCGGGGAGCUAGAAAUUUUUGAGGCAUGAGCCCCAGCUUUGCUCCCUAUGCCUGGC